AAGCGAAACGCGGUUCGCCGCGUCUGCCUAGCGUAGUGGCUAGGCACUGAUGAGCAGCUAAGG
rnacentral:hammerhead_ribozyme from 1 species